rnacentral:rRNA from 1 species
GACGAACGCUGGCGGCGUGCUUAACACAUGCAAGUCGAACGGAAAGGCCCUGCUUUUGUGGGGUGCUCGAGUGGCGAACGGGUGAGUAACACGUGAGUAACCUGCCCUUGACUUUGGGAUAACUUCAGGAAACUGGGGCUAAUACCGGAUAGGAGCUCCUGCUGCAUGGUGGGGGUUGGAAAGUUUCGGCGGUUGGGGAUGGACUCGCGGCUUAUCAGCUUGUUGGUGGGGUAGUGGCUUACCAAGGCUUUGACGGGUCGCCGGCCUGAGAGGGUGACCGGCCACAGUGGGACUGAGUUACGGCGCAGACUCCUACGGGAGGCAGCAGUGGGGAAUGUUGCACAAUGGGCGGAAGCCUGAUGCAGCAACGCCGCGUGCGGGAUGAGGGCCUUCGGGGUGUAAACCGCUUUCGCCUGUGACGAAGCGUGAGUGACGGUAAUGGGUAGAGAAGCACAGGCUGACUACGUG